AGUAAGAAAAAAAAAGGAUGUCCUGUAAACAUUACAAGUGGUCUGUGGUUGAGUGCCCUAAGUUAAAGCGGUUUGCAAUUAGAAUUCAUUUGGUGAUGAGUGCCCCGAGUUAAAGCGGUUUGCAAUUAGAAUAUUGAGUUUAACAUGUAGCUCUUCGGGAUGUGAAAGGAACUGGAGUGCCUUUGAGAUGGUAAAUUAUCGAAUAAUGCAUAGUUCCAAAAUUUUAAUAAUGUCACAGUUUAAUUUUAAGUUUUAACCUCAUUGGCAAUAUAUUUAGGUGCAUUCAAAAAGGAAAAACCGGUUGCAACAAAAAAAACUGAAUGAUUUGGUAUUUGUUAUGUAUAACAUAAAAUUGAGGGAGAGGCACGUGAAAAGACAAGCUGUCGUAGAACCAAUUUGUUUCUUCCGAUGUUUCUUUCGAUGAUGAAUGGAUUAUCGAAAAAGAGGAUCCGAUUCUUCCAACAAAAACUAAAUGGUUGAGGGUUCUUGAUGACAAAGUUCAAGAAGAUGAUACCGAUGAAGAAAAUGAAGUAAAAAGGAUGACUAGGACACUUGAGGAAAUUUAUGCAAUUGAUGAUAAUGAAGACAUGGAGCCAUUAAAUCCCGUUGAUGAUGCUAAUGAGGAAGAUGGUGAUGAUGAAGAGUUCAAUGAUGACUUUAUGGAUAUGUAAUUUUAGUUUCUAACUUUAGAGAUGGAUGAGUUAGAACUGUAUGUUAUUUUGAGCUACAUUCUCUUUUAUUUAUAUUCGGACUUUGGAAUAUUGUUAGGAUUUGAGAUUUAUGGACUCAUGGAUAUGUAAUAUUGUGUGUUUUGGCCUUA